CACUGGUUAGUCUCUUGACAUCCAGGAUGAUUUAGGUGCCAGAGAGAGAAGCGAUAGUCUACACCUCCUCCUCUCUCCACCACCUAAAUGAAUCUGGUUGUUACAGCAACAUCAGAGGGGAGAGAUGGAGCCAGG